rnacentral:rRNA from 1 species
UACGGAGGGUGCGAGCGUUGUCCGGAAUCACUGGGCGUAAAGGGCGCGUAGGCGGCCUGUUAAGUCGGGGGUGAAAUCCUGCGGCUUAACCGCAGGGCUGCCUUCUAAACUGUCAGGCUCGAGCACAGUAGAGGCAGGUGGAAUUCCCGGUGUAGCGGUGGAAUGCGUAGAGAUCGGGAAGAACAUCAGUGGCGAAGGCGGCCUGCUGGGCUGUUGCUGACGCUGAGGCGCGACAGCGUGGGGAGCAAACAGG